rnacentral:rRNA from 1 species
CAGUCGCCGCGGUAAUACGGAGGGUGCAAGCGUUAAUCGGAAUUACUGGGCGUAAAGCGCACGCAGGCGGUCUGACAAGUCAGAUGCGAAAUCCCCGGGCUUAACCUGGGAACUGCAUUUGAAACUGUCAGGCUGGAGUCUUGUAGAGGGGGGUGGAAUUCCAGGUGUAGCGGUGAAAUGCGUAGAGAUCUGGAGGAAUACCGGUGGCGAAGGCGGCCCCCUGGACAAAGACUGACGCUCAGGUGCGAAAGCGUGGGGAGCAAACAGGAUUAGAUACCCCUGUAGUCCCUGUCUCUUAUAC